rnacentral:rRNA from 1 species
CCUACGGGUGGCAGCAGUGGGGAAUAUUGCACAAUGGGGGAAACCCUGAUGCAGCAACGCCGCGUGAGUGAAGAAGGUUUUCGGAUUGUAAAGCUCUGUUAGCAGGGAAGAGGAAGGACGGUACCUGCAGAGGAAGCCACGGCUAACUACGUGCCAGCAGCCGCGGUAAUACGGAGGAUGCGAGCGUUAUCCGGAUUUAUUGGGUUUAAAGGGUGCGUAGGCGGACAGUCAAGUCAGCGGUAAAAAUGCGGUGCUCAACGCCGUACAGCCGUUGAAACUGGCAGUCUUGAGUGGGCGAGAAGUAUGCGGAAUGCGUGGUGUAGCGGGGAAAUGCAUAGAUAUCACGCAGAACUCCGAUUGCGAAGGCAGCAUACCGGCGCCCGACUGACGCUGAGGCACGAAAGCGUGGGUAUCGAACAGGAUUAGAUACCCUGGUAGUC